AUUGAACGCUGGCGGCAUGCUUUACACAUGCAAGUCGAACGGCAGCACAGGGAGCUUGGCUCCCGGGUGGCGAGUGGCGCACGGGUGAGUAAUACAUCGGAACGUGUCCUGUUGUGGGGGAUAACUGCUCGAAAGGGUGGCUAAUACCGCAUGAGACCUGAGGGUGAAAGCGGGGGAUCGCAAGACCUCGCGCAAUUGGAGCGGCCGAUGCCCGAUUAGCUAGUUGGUGAGGUAAAGGCUCACCAAGGCGACGAUCGGUAGCUGGUCUGAGAGGACGACCAGCCACACUGGGACUGAGACACGGCCCAGACUCCUACGGGAGGCAGCAGUGGGGAAUUUUGGACAAUGGGGGCAACCCUGAUCCAGCCAUGCCGCGUGCAGGAUGAAGGCCUUCGGGUUGUAAACUGCUUUUGUCAGGGACGAAAAGGACCGUGUUAAUACCAUGGUCUGCUGACGGUACCUGAAGAAUAAGCACCGGCUAACUACGUG
rnacentral:rRNA from 1 species